rnacentral:misc_RNA from 1 species
UCCGAGUUGACCCCGGCAUUAUCCGCUGGCAACAUAGAACGAGGGUUGCGCUCGUUGCGGGACUUAACCCAACAUCUCACGACACGAGCUGACGACAACCAUGCACCACCUGUGCACGGCCCUUACGGACCCACCAUCUCUGGAGGAUUUCCGUGCAUGUCAAGCCUAGGUAAGGUUCUUCGCGUUGCAUCGAAUUAAGCAACAUGCUCCGCCGCUUGUGCGGGCCCCCGUCAAUUCCUUUGAGUUUUAGCCUUGCGGCCGUACUCCCCAGGCGGGGCGCUUAAUGCGUUAGCUGCGGCACGGAACUCGUGGAAUGAGCCCCACACCUAGCGCCCAACGUUUACGGCGUGGACUAC